CCUACGAGUGGCAGCAGUGGGGGAUAUUGCACAAUGGGGGAAACCCUGAUGCAGCGACGCCGCGUGUGGGAAGACGGUCCUCUGGAUUGUAAACCACUGUCCCCAGGGACGAAGAUGACGGUACCUGGGUAGGAAGCUCCGGCUAACUACGUGCCAGCAGCCGCGGUAAUACGUAGGGAGCGAGCGUUGUCCGGAAUUACUGGGUGUAAAGGGAGCGUAGGCGGGACUGCAAGUUGGGUGUCAAAUCUACCGGCUCAACCGGUAGCCGCACUCAAAACUGCAGUUCUUGAGUGAAGUAGAGGCAGGCGGAAUGCCUAGUGUAGCGGUGAAAUGCGUAGAUAUUAGGAGGAACACCAGUGGCGAAGGCGGCCUGCUGGGCUUUUACUGACGCUGAGGCUCGAAAGUGUGGGGAGCAAACAGGAUUAGAUACCCGGGUAGUC
rnacentral:rRNA from 1 species